GGGUGGCUGGGGAGCAAGAAGCUUGUAGGAACCUAACGGAUUAAAUUGGAAUCCUGGGGUCGUGCAGCGAGGCGAUAGGGAAGGUCGGUGAUUCCUUACCCAGCCACGACUUUGUGUAGUUUUACCCCACGCGACGGUGCCUUUCAUCUUUCCAGAUCCUGUGUAGUUUUAUAGGCAGCCCCUGGGAAGGUUCCCUGGUUUCGCCCUUCUCAGAGCUCUGGAGGCCUCUGGUUUAACAUCACCUUGAGGGCCCCUGGUACGUCCCCCAAGGGUCCUCUGAUUACUGAUGCUCUUGAGGGAACGCUUCUUACCAUUCUGCUGAUGAGCUUGAAUCCCGGAAGAACUCAGGUUGAGGCUUCAAAGCUGAGGGAACUAUGUCUUGCUUCCUCUCUCUCACCUGGGGUAGCAGAAAAAUGCCUACAAACAACAGGGAAUAAAAUGGUGUCAAGACAUCUAAAUUACAAGAAUGAUAACUGAGGUGUCUCCGAGUGACUUGGAAUACGCAAGUGUUUACUUACCUUAUCUUAGAAGAUUCUGAGUAAGACCGGUCAGUUGAGAAGUCUGAAAGAAAUUAGUUUUAAGCUAUUUCCUCGUGACUGAAAUUGCAGAUGUCAGAUUCCAUUACAGGAGGCCAAGAGUAGAAGAGCUUCUCCCUUGUUUCAUCCCAGGGUAUCCCAGAAGCCUUUGUGCAGUGUUAAGCUUUAAAUAGCUUAAAACAGCACUAAGACUUUGGGACACUCUUAUCUUUAUUGAACGAACCCCAUGCUAACUACUGAAGACAUGAUUAUAAGCAGCACAGACCUACUAGCUGGUCUCGUGGAGCUUCUCAUCUCUUGAAGGUGUCAGACCAAUAAGUAAAUGCUUGCGAACAGCUACUGUGGAGAUGUUCCCAUUACUCUUGCUGCAUAACAAACUACAUGAGACUAUGCCUCAUGGACUCUGUGGGUCAAGAAUUCAGUCAGAGUGUGGCUGGGUGAUUCUUCUACUCCUGGAUCGACUGCAGUCACUCCGUGGGACUCAGCUGGUGGAUGGACUGGUCUAGAGGAUCCAAACAGCCUCGCUCACAUGUUUGGUGGUGGGAGAGCCUAAAGGACUAGCUCACAUGGCACACACAACUGGAGCACCCAUGCAUGGUGAAAAGCCAGGUGGAAAUUCAGGGUAGAUGAAUUUCUUACAUAGGGAUCAGGUACCCCCAGACCAUGUCUCAAGAAAAUUAGGUGGAAACUUCGUGACAUUUUUGGACCUAGCCUGGAAAGUCACACAACAAAACUCACAGCAAUUUCUUGUUGAUUAACAAGGGAGUCAUAAUGUCAGCCUAGAUUCAAGGAGAAAGAAAUUGGAUUCUAUUUCUUGAUGUGGGAAUAGCAAAUUCACACUGUAGAAACCUUGUGGGAAGGGAGAUACUAUUAUAGCCAUUUUAAUUGUUAAAGAAUUUGUACUUAGAAUUAGCCAGCUGAACUAAGUUUAGAUGAUUCCACUUUUGUUGGCAACAUCCAAAGCACCAUAGUCAGGAGCUAGUUGAAUAGAUGCUUUAUUCUCUUCAUCAGGUUUGUUCAGAGUGUUGACCUUGACCCCAUCCAGUAUCAGUGUCAUAGAGCUUCUUCAUAGCCUGUUUGGUCUGGUGCUUGUUGGUUUUGACAUCCACAAGGAAGAGAAGUGUGUUGUUGUCUUCUGUCUUCUUCAUGGCUGACUCCGUUGUCAGGGGGCUUGAUAUUGGCAUAGAGGUCAAACUUGUUUCUCCUGGGGGUACUCUUCUAGGGCUAUUUGGGUUGCCUUUAGAGCCAUAGUGUCUUAGGCUAUCAAAAGUUGGGUGAUAUGAAGAUCUUCUUUAUGACUAUCUUCAAAAAUACAACCUUCCAGAAAAAGAAAGAAAGAAAAAAUGGAGUUGUAGGGAAAGACUUUAUAGAACUAAAAAUAAGAAAGACGGGUAAGAAAGACAAUAGGAGGAAGACAAUGGAGACCUCCAUAGGCAGAGUAAAUACUUCUUGCAAAGGCCCUAUGGUGAAAAGGAGUUUGCCAAAUUUGAGAAACAAAACAAAACAAAAAACAGCUGGAGCUGGAGUUUGGAGAGUGAGGGAGAGGGUAAGUUUCAAAAAUCAGGUAGUAUCUUGCAAGCCAUGUUAAGACAUCCAGACGCUCUAGUAAGAGCAGUGGGAACAAGAUGUUUAAGCAGAGAGUAGCAUGAUCUGAGGACUUGCAUGGAUCUUUCAGAAUAAAUUGGAGGGGUCAGUUCUGAUCUAGUUAGGAAAUUGUUGCAGUGUCCAUGCUGAUGAUGAGGGUUGCCUGAAUUAAUAUGGCAGACAGAUUUGAGUUUCAUUUAGAGACAU